rnacentral:rRNA from 1 species
GACGUAGGGUGCGAGCGUUGUCCGGAAUCACUGGGCGUAAAGGGCGCGUAGGCGGCGCGAGCAGUCGGCGGUGAAAGCCCGGAGCUCAACUCCGGGUCGGCCGUCGAUACUCUCGUGCUCGAGCACUGUAGAGGUAGGCGGAAUUCCGGGUGGAGUGGUGAAAUGCGUAGAGAUCCGGGAGGAACACCAGAGGCGAAGGCGGCCUACUGGGCGUGCACCUGACGCUGAGCCGCGAAAGCCAGGGGAGCGCAACGGG